AGCAGCCGCGGUAAUUCCAGCUCCAAUAGCGUAUAUUAAAGUUGUUGCAGUUAAAAAGCUCGUAGUUGAAUUUCGGGAUUAAUUUACUGGUCGUGCUUUUGUACGUACUGGUUUUAUUGAUUCCUCCCUUCUGAUGAACUAUGAUGUCAUUAAUUUGGUGUUAUAGGAAAUCAGGACUGUUACUUUGAAAAAAAUUAGAGUGUUUAAAGCAGGCUCACGCUUGAAUACAUUAGCAUGGAAUAACGGAAUAGGACGUUUGACUCUAUUUUGUUGGUUUCUAGGAUCGACGUAAUGAUUAAUAGGGAUAGUUGGGGGCAUUAGUAUUCAAUUGUCAGAGGUGAAAUUCUUGGAUUUAUUGAAGACUAACUACUGCGAAAGCAUUUGCCAAGGAUGUUUUCAUUAAUCAAGAACGAAAGUUAGGGGAUCGAAGACGAUCAGAUACCGUCGUAG
rnacentral:rRNA from 1 species